rnacentral:misc_RNA from 1 species
AACUCUCUCUCUCGUCCCUUCUCUCGGAUUCACUUCUCCUUCCUCCUCUUCUUCGUCUUCUUCUACCUGUUCUAACUCUUCUACCUCAUCAUUAUUCUUUACGGGUGGAAGCCACCUUUGGUCCCAUAAGAUUUUUAUCUCUGUUUCUUUAAAGUUCAGGACCAAGGCCUCCACCAGUCGUUAUCGACUUAUGAUUAAUGCUUCCAGGGAUUACUAUGCGACUCUUGGGGUUACUAAAUCUGCUACCGGUAAAGAAAUCAAGGCUGCUUAUCGAAGGUUAGCUCGCCAGGUUUAUUGUGAUUCCAGUACCACCCAGAUGUUAACAA